AGAGGACAGUGUGUGAAGGGAUAACAAGAUCCUCUCACCACAUGGUCUGUUAAGGGAGAAAGAAAUAACAAAGCUUUUAUUUCCUUUAUGGAAAGCAAAGAAGCAGAAAAACUAUGUUUACAGAAGACAGAUCUUGGGGAGAUGUGGAGAGAAGAGGUCCUGAUUCCCCUUAGGAUUUGCACCAGGCACCCACACCAAGAUUGGGAAAGAAUCUCAAGAAGGCUUUCCCACGGUGCACCACUAUGCCCACUGCUGAUGGUGACACGGAGUAACAGAUGGCACUGCCAGGGCUACAGGUGCCUCGGAAUGGAGCCUUUUGAAGACUAAGCCAAGGCAGUGGCCUGAAAACUACUCAGUGAUACAGAAACCGAAGUUAUUGGAAAUUGGGGGGAGGGAAUUUAAAAAAACAGUGAUUAUCUUUUAAUAAAUGACUGUCUUCCAGAAGUAUUAAAGCUUUUGCUCACAGACGCAACCUGGCCUAUUUGUGGCUCAACACAAAAGCUCAGAGUUGGUGAGCCCCAAGAGGUCACCCCCCAGCGCAGCCCAGACCCAGAGAGACAACCCCAGCUCUAAAUGUUGA
rnacentral:lncRNA from 1 species